ACCGGAUGGAUUGAAAAGAAAAGAAAAAGCAAUUUCACACCAACUCGCCCACCCACCUCCCGAGUCCCCAAUCCCAUCCACCCAUGCCUCGCCGCCGCUCCAUGCCCCUCCGCCUUGCGCCGCCCACGGCCACCCCAGUCCCCCACCGCGGCGCCAUCCUCGUCCCCCACCGCGGCGCCACUCCUCUACACCGACGCGCCGCCGCCCCUCUCCCCAGAUGCUUCGCCGCACCGCCCCUCUCCCCCGACGCGCCGCCCCUCUCCCCGAGCUCGCCGGCCAUCCCCUCCCCCCACUCUUUCCCAAAAGAGGCCGCCUCCCGAGCUCUGCCAUGCGCGGCUGCGCCUGCUCCACUGUCCAGGUGACACCGGUCGACGCCCCAACCGCGUGCCGCCGUAUACUACUGCUCCUUUCCAUGAGCCACCUCACCUUCUCCUCCGUGGAUAAGUUCGCCGACGAGCGAGGACUCCGGAUCGAGCCGGCCGACGCCAACCUGCUGGUGUGCCACCCCCGCCCCAGCCAUCUCCUCCACCACGGUGCACCGCUGCCUAUUAUGGCCAUGGGCAAGCACAAGCGCCACCCGCAGUUUGGCAACAAAAUUCACAUCAGUUUAGGGGCGCCCGCAUCACGGUCUCACCGUGCUACCGCAAUCUCUCCUUGAUACGCCACCGGACGAGCCACUUUGGCAAGCUGUCACUUCUUGCUCGUGUGCCUGGAUCCCAUGUGAGCGCCCCUGGAAUCAGUGCAGAUGGGAGGAGAACCGUCCAAAGUGCGAGUUUUGUGACGUCGACGUGCGAGCCAGUCUAACCAGCACAUCUGAACCAACAUAUGCAGAGUGAUUCGCCCAAAGCAGCCAGGGGUAUACACGGUUGUUGGGAGCCGUCCAAGUCGAGCUCUGACCGCAGUCCAAGUGGGACUGCGACCACCAUCUAAUCAAAAUUGCUACUGUGUUUCUAAUUGAACCGCCGCCCCGAGAAUCCCCGCUGAGCUCGUCCGCAGCCCCGGCCCUCUUCAGGGCCACCCAGGUCUACAUCGCAGGGCCGCCGUGUUCUCUUUACCGCCAUCCAGGUCCGACGAGCCGCCGCACGCAGGAUCCCAUGCGUGCUAGCCUUGGUGCUGGCCCUGCGCGAUGGCACGACAUCAUUCACUGCCGCCACCAUGGGUCGUUCAAUGACACAGCGUCGAGUCGUUCGACGCCGCAGCUCAGGAGUUUGCCUCCUUUCCCAACCUCCACUAUGCUAGUCUCUCCUGUUCUCCUCUCUUCACUAACCUCUCUCGCUUCUUUCGCUUGAAUUCCUGCUAAUGUUGGCUGUAGCUUGAAUUCCACCAGGGGUGCUGGCAGCCGUCCAAGUGGAGCGUUGACGCCAGUACAAGUAGAAUCGUGGGUUGCGGCCACCAUCUUCACUAAGCACCGCACAUCCGUCCAAGUCGAGCACACACACAGGGAGAACACACCAGCCCCUUUGCUUUGCACAUUGCUUGGUUAUGCAUGACUGCUGAUGGAUGCAACAAGCGUUUAUAUUAGUUUGAUCUUGUGCAAGACUCAAUUUUGUCUCGGUUUUCGUGGAUGCUAGCUGGCAAUACGUCCAACAUUCUUGCGGCGAUAGCAGCCACCACUAAGGGCAUUUGCGUCCAGCACUCGAGCUACAUGCUCGACGGUUGCACACUGCCGCCAUGGACAUGCACAAAGAUAUUAAGUAGAUGUUUGUUAGUUCAGUUUUUUAUCGAUUUACCUUGUUUAAGUAGUAGUGCAGCAAUAAAAGGUGUCGUUGUACUGAAGUUUUAGUUGCUAUAUGAGGAACCCAUAGGCCAUUUAUUUUGGUUUUCAGUUCAGCUUGUCUGUUGUUUUCGGUCCGGAUGCUUUAUUGCGCAUAAUCUUGAGGAAAUCCCCAAAAGUCAUAUGUCUCAUGUGAAUCUUGUUCAGUUCAUUAGUUCAUUGGAAAAAUAUAUCAUCUACAAGAAGAAUUGCAAUCUGGUAAUGUGAAGUAUGUUGUAGUCUAUACCUGUAGAGUGCAUUUUUGUAGUGCUGGUAUUCGUGGUCACUCUUUUGUGUUAGAAACAAUGGAUAUAUAUUUAUAUUUUGUAGUGUCAGUACUUGAGAACAAAAGGUUCAGUUUUCAAACUUUAAACAGUUCAUCGCAAGCUUUCGGUGUAGCAAGACGCGCGCCAAUGUGUGUGUGCACUUGAUGAAACUCUAUUGCAGUAUAUGAAGUUCAUACGAUUUUCAUGCAUCAACAAUCUGAUAGAGAGCACCAUUCUUUUCUGAAUUUUGUAUUUAAGAAAUAUCCCCCUUUCUAUAUUUUUGAACACUAGCUAGUGCUUUCUUUUCUUGUUAUAGUCAAAAAGUAGUACAGGUAUCUAGUUAUGGUGAUAGUGAUACUAACCAGACCAAGCUACUUCAAUUGUUUUACCAAAUUCUAGAAAUUCUCCAUAUACGGCAAGGGCCAACCGGACAUCUUUGUCUAGCCUGACUUGGGACGGCUUCUUUGCAACUGCAGGUUAGAAAAUUCAACAUGUGAUUGGAAUUCAGUGUGAAAAACUGCAGGUGCGAGAUGGCGGCUGCCGACGUCGCUAAAUCCCUCUACAAACUAGUGGUUGGCUGUUCCCAGCGGUAAAUGUGAUCGGAUUCAGCAGCUAGCUCUUCCUCGAGCAACCAUUUGGAGAACUUUAUUGUCUUGUGGUGGUGAUUGAUUUUAGGAUCAGUAAAUUUGACGUUGGUAGCUAGAUGAAACCUGCAAGUUCAAUAUUGGUAUUAGAUUCAGUUCUUGUUGUACAAAUGUCCCAAUGUUCACAUUUAUUUGGGUAAAAGUUUAUUUUAGUUCAGCAACAGAAACCAUGCAGGUUCAGUGAUGAUGAUACCAUAAGUUCGGACAAGAAAAUUUAUGUAUA